rnacentral:rRNA from 1 species
GACGAACGCUGGCGGCGUGCCUAAUACAUGCAAGUGGGACGCAAGGAAACACACUGUGCUUGCACACCGUGUUUUCUUGAGUCGCGAACGGGUGAGUAACGCGUAGGUAACCUGCCUAUUAGCGGGGGAUAACUGUUGGAAACGAUAGCUAAUACCGCAUAAUAUUAAUUAUUGCAUGAUAAUUGAUUGAAAGAUGCAAGCGCAUCACUAGUAGAUGGACCUGCGUUGUAUUAGCUAGUUGGUAAGGUAAGAGCUUACCAAGGCGACGAUACAUAGCCGACCUGAGAGGGUGAUCGGCCACACUGGGACUGAGACACGGCCCAGACUCCUACGGGAGGCAGCAGUAGGGAAUCUUCGGCAAUGGACGAAAGUCUGACCGAGCAACGCCGCGUGAGUGAAGAAGGUUUUCGGAUCGUAAAGCUCUGUUGUAAGUCAAGAACGUGUGUGAGAGUGGAAAGUUCACACAGUGACGGUAGCUUACCAGAAAGGGACGGCUAACUACGUG